CAUCACUAUUAAUGAUGACUUUUUCUUCUGUUGCUUCUGUUGUCUUAAUAUCAUUUGUUUGUGUGAAUAUUCAGCAAUUAAUUAAAGUACAUAUUUGAAGAGAUUGUAAAAGCAGGAGAUGACUUUAGGAGGGUCUUCAGGAAAUGCUCCAUCCAAAUUAUUGUUGUUAUUAUUAUUAUUAUUAUUAUUAUUAUUAUUAUUAAUAUUAUUAUUAUUAUUAUUAUUAUUAUUAUUAUUAUUAUUAUUAUUAUUAUUAUUGUUAUUGUAAUUCUUCCAGUGACAUUCACAACAUCAGAUUGACUUGUUACAUCUCACUGUAUUAACUGGUGAGAUCUUGAAACAAUAUUCUGAAACUACAGUUCAGUGUUUGAACACCAUUUACUGCCUAAUCAGAAAGAUCAAACAGUCACAUUUGAAUGGAGCAUUUCCAAAGGGUUGAGGUUAGGGAGGGCCAGACCCUCCUAGAGUCUUUUUCCUCUUUUACAAAUGUUACUGUUUGAUGUCAUUAUUGUUCAUAAUCAGUUUUUUCUUUCAGUUGUACAUUUUGAAAAGCCAUACAAAUUCUGUGAUAGAGAGAAAUAUUUAAGAUUUCGUUCAUCAAUGGUAAGUUUUAGACAAGUUUUUUCUACAAAUCUUCAACAACCAAGUUAAAGAACAUAUUUAGAUAACAGGAGUGUAAAAGCAGGAGAUGACUUUAGGAGGGUCUUCAGGAAAUUCUCCAUCCGCAUUAUAUUUUUAUUGUUAUUAUUGUAAUUCUUCAAAUUACAUUUUCAAUAACUAAUUACUAUUAGUUAAACUAUUUUUAACAUGUAAACAAUAAGAGUCAUAUUUAUUUGACUUGUUAUGACUCACUGUAUUACCUGGUGAGAUCUUGAAACUAUGUUCCAAAAGUACAAUCCAGUGUUUGAACACAAAUUAUUGUGUAAAUAAUGAGAGUCACAUUAGUAUGGAGCAUUUCCAAAGGGUUGAGGUUAGGGAGGGCCAGACCCUCCUAAAGUCUUCAUUGUCUUUUAUAAAUGUUACUUUCAGAUUCAGUCACUAUUAAUGAUCUCUUUUCUUCCUAAUGUUUUAAUAUCUUCAAAGACAAGACAUCCAAAUUGUACAACACAGAAACAUGGUGCGGAUUUCCUGUUAUGUUUCAUGUUUUGGGUUUGGUUUGGUUUGUCUCUCGUCGUCUCUUUUUCUCUUCUCCCUGGUUUCCUUCCAGUGUGUUGCUGACGACGUGGCUCAUCUCCCUGCAGCUUGUUCCACAUCAUCAGCUCCUCCAUAAACCCUGGACUCUUUUCUACUCUGAUCCUCACUGCCUCGCUGCUAACUCAGUUCUCCUGAGCUCCAGUGUUUCUUGUGCUCAGCCUUCAGCUCUACCUUGGUCACUCCAGCCGUCCACCACCAAACCAGCCAGUCCUCA
ensembl:lncRNA